UCGGGAAUUUUGUGCAAUGGGCGAAAGCCUGACACAGCAACGCCGCGUGAAGGAUGAAGUCCCUCGGGAUGUAAACUUCGUAAGAAUAGGAAGAAUAAAUGACGGUACUAUUUGUAAGGUCCGGCUAACUACGUGCCAGCAGCCGCGGUAAUACGUAGGGACCAAGCGUUGUUCGGAUUUACUGGGCGUAAAGGGUGCGUAGGCGGCAUAUCAAGUCACUUGUGAAAUCUCCGGGCUUAACUCGGAACUGCCAAGUGAUACUGAUGUGCUAGAGUGCAGAAAGGGCAACUGGAAUUCUUGGUGUAGCGGUGAAAUGCGUAGAUAUCAAGAGGAACACCUGAGGCGAAGGCGAGUUGCUAGGCUGACACUGACGCUGAGGUACGAAAGCUAGGGGAGCGAACGGGAUUAGAUACCCUUGUAGUCCCUGAGCGGGCUGGCAAGGCGCAU
rnacentral:rRNA from 1 species